rnacentral:lncRNA from 1 species
UAGCCUUCUUUCUUCUCUUAACAUCUUUUAUGAUUUAACAAUUAGAAUUUAUCAUAGGAAAAACUCAAGCCCUUUUAAACAAAUAAAGUAAUAAUGUAAAGCUAGAAGAAGGAGAUCUAUGUCAAAACUUUCCAAGUCUGAGCCUAAUCAAAGGACUAUCAAUCUAUGAACACUAAAUUUGGGAUGGCUGGAGUUUGCUCUAGUAUUGCCUACAAUAGGAAAAUCUAUAGAUGAAAAUUUUGUAGCUACAUCCAAAUUAGCUAAAGAAUCAAUAAUACUGUCCU